ensembl:lncRNA
GUUUAUGGCCUAGUAGACAUAAUUGUAUUAAGACUUUCUGCAGUUGACAUUUGCAUAAAGCUGACUGACUGAAGGAACAGGAAGUGCGAUGGUUGAUUUUAACAGAUAUGACCAAAUUUAUACAAACCAUGUACCAACACUUGAAAGAUGGGUGGAUAUUUUCCAGGAAACAGAUUUCGGGCAGGACAUUCCAUGCAUUGGAAAUAACAUGAACAAAUGCAUGAACAUUGCCUACAACAUGCCUGGACAUAGCUUUGAGGUACCCUAUGAGUUGCUGACUUGAAAACAUGGAACUGCACAGGGCAUUCAGGCAAGUGCAAGUGGUUCAGGGGCCAGAGCAGAGCAAGAGUGAUGAGUAAAGAUGUCAGAAAAGGAGAGCAAUGGUCUGGUACAAGUCUUGUGUAGAACAAGAAGUUUAGACUUUUGAACUGGCAAUCGAGAUUUGGGGUUCAGAAAGAUAAAUCCCAAAAGUAUGGAGGACAAAGGGACUCAUUUUAAAGGACUAGCUAAGAUGCUGAAUCUCUUAAAAAAAAAAAUAAAAGGGUCUGUAAUCGUGAGGGUAGAGAGAAAACUGAAGGAACAGUCAACAGACUUUAGCAAAAUCCUUUUAUUUGAUUCAUGCAUAACUCUUGAUGGAGUGUCAAGGAAGAGUCAACAUACUUUAGCAAAGACUUCUCUAAACUCUCGACAUUACAAAUGUCAUUCCACUCCUAUUUUGAAAGUUAAGUAUUCUAACUUUUCUGUAGAAGCAGAAAAAUGGAAAUGAUGUCUAUAUAUUAGUAAUUUGGGAAAUCACAUAGGAAUUAAACUUUCAUUAGGUCACUUCGAGGAUUAAAAUUUGGGAGGAAAAUAAACUGCUCUGAUUUUUCAUUCCUUCAUUCAUUUGACAAAUAAUUAUCAACGGAACUGUACUGGGCACUGGAGAUAAAGUGAUGAAUAAAAUAGACAAAAAUCUCCACCCUCUUGGGUCCUAUUUUUAGUAGGGGAGACAGAUAAUAAGAUAAAUGAAAUGUAGAGAGUUAGAUGUGAGAAGCGCUGUGGAGAAAAAUAAUGCAGAGAUAGACCUUGUAUGUGUGAUGCAGAAGAAGGAUGUUAUUAAUAUAAUAUGGCCAUGGAAGGUCUUACUGAGGAAGUGAAAUUUGAAUAAAGCCUUUAAAAAAGCAAAAUAGCCAGCUACUUGACUAUACAGAGGAAGCACAUUCCAGGAUCUUGGAAAAGCAAGAAUAUUAGUUCCAAAACAGAACUGUGCCUUGUAUAGUGAUAAACACUCAGGAGUUGGUGUAGCUGGAGUAAAGUGAAGAGAAUAAUUUUUGUCUGUCUUGAUCAACAUAAAUCCCAUCCUAGCAACCAGCACAGUGCCUGGCACACAGUAGGCCCUCUGGCACAUAGUAGGCACACUGUAAAUACAUGUUGAAUAAAUGAACGAAUCAAUGGGAAAAGGGAGUGAAUGGGAUUAGGGAUGACGGCCAAAGGGAGAGUCUCACGUUAUCAUAUGUGGUCUAUACACUUUCUUUUAAUAAAAAAAAUAAGGCAAAUAUGACCAUAUGUUAACAAUAGUAAAUUUUGG